AUUCCUCCUUCUUACUUUGGUGGGAUCUUGAGCAGAUUUUUUUUUUGGUCUAUAUCAAUCUGGGUCUACAUAUUUGGUAUGAUAGGCUGCUGAUACAGUUAUGAGGAGCUGCUGGGAGAGUUUUACUGUAUUUCUUUUAUGGUGCUAGGGAUGGAACUCAGGGUUUAUGCAUACUCUACAAAGUAUUCUGCCACUGAACUACAGCCAUGUCCUGCUGCUGGAAGUAUUGUAAAUGGGAAAGAUCCAGAACCAAGAUAAUGUGAUGAGAGGUUAAAAAUGAAGAUUCAAUCAACUGUGGCUGAAAUCUCUGGCUCCACCGUCACUAGCAGAAAUGCUACACUUAGAAUUUCAUGGGAAGGAGGCAUUGCUUCAUGGGAGGAAGUAGUGAGGAAUAUGGAAACACCUGAUCUCUCUGCCUUCCAACUUCAAAUGUGUGCCAAACUCAAGACCUCCAAAUCAGGCAUGUCUCAGCGAGUCUUUCAUGGUGCUUCCAGAAGUGUAGGGUGA
rnacentral:lncRNA from 1 species